rnacentral:rRNA from 1 species
UACGUAGGGUGCGAGCGUUGUCCGGAAUUUAUUGGGCGUAAAGAGCUUGUAGGCGGUUUGUCGCGUCUGCCGUGAAAAUCCGAGGCUCAACCUCGGACUUGCGGUGGAUACGGGCAGACUAGAGGUAGGUAGGGGAGAAUGGAAUUCCUGGUGUAGCGGUGAAAUGCGCAGAUAUCAGGAGGAACACCGGUGGCGAAGGCGGUUCUCUGGGCCUUACCUGACGCUGAGGAGCGAAAGCGUGGGGAGCGAACAGG